rnacentral:rRNA from 1 species
UACGUAGGGUGCGAGCGUUGUCCGGAAUUACUGGGCGUAAAGAGUUCGUAGGCGGUUUGUCGCGUCGUCUGUGAAAACCCAUCGCUCAACGAUGGGCCGGCAGGCGAUACGGGCAGACUUGAGUACUGCAGGGGAGACUGGAAUUCUCGGUGUAGCGGUGAAAUGCGUAGAUAUCGAGAGGAACACCUGCGGCGAAGGCGGGUUGCUGGGCUGAUACUGACGCUGAUGCGCGAAAGCCAGGGGAGCGAACGGG